rnacentral:lncRNA from 1 species
CCCUCCCCCAGUGGACCAUGUCUUAACAGAACUCUACACUAUGACCCGUCCAUCUUGGGUGGCCCUGCAUGGCAAGUCUCUUAACUUUGUUGAAGUUAUACAAGCCCCUUUGCCAUGAGAAGGCUAUGAUCCAGGAAGGGGACUGUUAAACGUGGUGGGAUCCCAUUCCACACCACACUUUGGGAAAUUUUUUUGGUCAUUAUGAUAUAACUUGCCUUCUAGAAUCCUUGCCUUAUACUACAAAAUUCUUAUGGUGUGGUUUUUGUUCUCAUGGACUCAAGAUGGUGCCUCUAUGUCCUCUAGACACUACACAAUCAUUCCAGGCAAGAGGAAGAGAUAAGGACAACACUUUAAAAACUACACUCAACCAACAGAUGCAGGUCGGGUCUCACCUUCUUGAUAUGGGUCUCCCAACAGCCUCCCGGCACAGCAACCUCUCCAGACAGAACCAUGCUUGCCUGAACCACUUUCUUUCACUAUAUAAUCAUAUGGGACCUCUUUUGAUUUACCUGUUUAGACAGCAAUGUCUAUCUGUUCAACGGCCCUGCGGGCAGGCAGGAUCUACAUUUCAUGUCUUUUAUCUCCACCCCCUGGCUAUUGGACCAUUCUUUCUUUUCUUUUUACCUCCCUUCCACAAAUAUCUAUUAGCAAGCUGCCUGUUUGGUCAAGUACUUAUCUGCUAGACACUGGAGAAAAAACAAAUUUGAAUAAACUAUUGUCUCUGAGUCUGAGUGAGAAACAAAUUUGAAUGAACCAUGAGUCCUUUUUAAGAUUUUUCCCCUCCUUACCUCUCCAACCUAACCUCAACAAUUUUCUUUUAGCUCUAGACAGACUAAAAGAGUAAAUUCUCUAAAUACACUAUGUCCUCCCAUCUCCAGGGUACUGAGUUGUUUCCUGUGUCUAAGAAUGCUUUGCCCACUCUUAUUCUGUCUUUGCUCCAGUUUGUAUCUGAAACAACACCGACUCAAUCCUUCUGGUCUCAGACUGGUAUUUCUCCAGGAGCCCUCCCUGAUUCCCAAAGUGGAGUACCCUUUUUAUGGUCUCCCCUGUACUGUUCCCAACAUUGCACUUUCAAAAAGGAGUUACGGUUGCCUGUUUAUCUGUGCAUAUCACUGAAAUCCGUUAUCUAUUAGUACAGGUAUGUGUUGCUGUUGUGUAUUAGGUAUGAGUCACGUGCAUGUUCAUGGUAUUUUUGGUACCUAGCAGGUAUUUUUUACAAGGUACUGAAUGAAUGAA